rnacentral:rRNA from 1 species
UACGUAGGGUCCAAGCGUUGUCCGGAAUUAUUGGGCGUAAAGAGCUCGUAGGCGGUCCAUUAAGUCAGAAGUGAAAUCUCAGGGCUCAACCCUGAAAUUGCUCCUGAUACUGGUGGACUUGAGGUAGGUAGGGGAAGGUGGAAUUCCUGGUGUAGCGGUGAAAUGCGCAGAUAUCAGGAGGAACACCGGUGGCGAAGGCGGCCUUCUGGGCCUUACCUGACGCUGAGGAGCGAAAGCGUGGGGAGCGAACAGGAUUAGAAACCCCAGUAGUCC